UGGUGUAUAGCUCCGUGGUAGAGGGCAUGCUUAGCAUGCACAAGGUCCUGGGUUCAAUCCCCAGUACCUCUA
rfam:Camelus ferus unplaced genomic scaffold scaffold1616, whole genome shotgun sequence.